CUUGGUCAGGACGAACGCUGGCGGCGUGCCUAAUACAUGCAAGUCGAACGGUCUUUUCUAUGGAAGCUUGCUUCCACUGAGAAGAUAGUGGCGAACGGGUGAGUAACACGUGGGUAACCUGCCCAUAAGAGGGGGAUAACAUCCGGAAACGGGUGCUAAUACCGCAUAGUUUUUCUUGAUUGCAUGAUUGAGAAAGGAAAGACGGCCUUUGUGCUGUCGCUUAUGGAUGGACCCGCGGCGUUAUUAGUUAGUUGGUGAGGUAACGGCUCACCAAGACGAUGAUACGUAGCCGACCUGAGAGGGUGAUCGGCCACAUUGGGACUGAGACACGGCCCAAACUCCUACGGGAGGCAGCAGUAGGGAAUCUUCCGCAAUGGACGAAAGUCUGACGGAGCAACGCCGCGUGAGUGAAGAAGGUUUUUCCGGAUCGUAAAACUCUGUUGUCAGAGAAGAACAAGUUGGAGAGUAACUGCUCCAGCCUUGACGGUAUCUGACCAGAAAGCCACGGCUAACUACGUGCCAGCCGCAGC
rnacentral:rRNA from 1 species